AUACGGAGGGUGCAAGCGUUAAUCGGAAUUACUGGGCGUAAAGCGCGCGUAGGCGGUUUGGUAAGUCGGAUGUGAAAGCCCCGGGCUCAACCUGGGAAUUGCAUUCGAUACUGCCAGACUAGAGAAUGGUAGAGGGAAGUGGAAUUCCGGGUGUGGCGGUGAAAUGCGUAGAUAUCCGGAGGAACACCAGUGGCGAAGGCGACUUCCUGGACCAAUUCUGACGCUGAGGUGCGAAAGCGUGGGGAGCAAACAGGAUUAGAAACCCCAGUAGUCC
rnacentral:rRNA from 1 species